GUCGGUUUCACGGCCCAGCAAAAGGCGGUUUCGCGGCCCAGCAAAAGGCAGGUUCGGUCCUCCUCCUCCCCAGUCUCUUCGUCGCCGGUGCGGCCGCCACUGUCGCUCUUCCACCAACUAGGGGAGGAGGACGCGGUCCCUUGGGCGAGAUUCACACAUCUGCCUCUACAGGAGUGCUUGAGCAGAAGCACCUCGCUAUCGUUGAGGCCACCACGGCCGCCUGCGGGUGCGAUGAGGAGAAGGAUCUCCUGGUGGAGCUUGGCAGCGGGAAGGAGUCGGGAGGAGGAGAUUUCACGAAAUCUGCACUUAAUCAUCGAUUCACCAGACCUGCAGGUUUGGAGGACAAAGCCUUGAUGUUGUGGCCAAACAAAGCUUGAUAAUAAACUUGCAGCCAGCAAGUUGCUUUGAUAAAUAUGUUCACUUCUACAAACUGUAGUAGCAGCAACCAGCAAGUGUUUAAACUUACAACCGUUUUUUUUUUAAUCCUUAAAUAAAUUUGUGUUAGCCUAUUUUUUUUUGUUCAUUUACAAGCUUCAAGAAAACAAGCAUAGCUAAUCUAGCAUUUGACAGGGUCUCUGUUGCUGUCUUCCUUGAUCAGAAUCCCCUCCUAGCUUCAUGAUACAUCCUCGACCAAAAAUGAGGUUGAUCUAGUUUGCUGCUGGUUCAUGUAGUAUGGUUUCUAACCCAGACUAGAGUUUUUUUUUUUUUUUGAGAAAAGACUAGAGAGUUAUUUGGGGUGCUUUCAACAAUCAGAUUCACAGUCCUUGACAACACUUCUUCUAAUUCAUGAUGUUCAGUUGAAACGUCUUCCGGAUAAGGAACUAUAAUCACAUCUACAUCACAAUGGUUUCUCUCACAACUCCUCGAUUCGGGCGAUGCAACAUCAAUCAAACAAAAUAACGGUAAUUAGUAUGGUUUGACCGCACCAAGUUUCAACUAGAUAAUACUCAAAAUUGCAGGUCUAAACUAAGGAAAGGCUCAAGUAAGAUAAGUGGAGGAGAAAGUAACCAAUGGAAAAUUACAUGAAGCAUUCGUGAAUUUGAAUCGUGUGCAAUAUAUUAUUCUAUUUGCUUGGGUCGGAUGAAAUUCAGUUUUCAUGUGACUUUGUUUGGCCUGUACAAAUCCUCCACUAAUUGAAGUGCAGUCUAUUUAGUGGUAUUUCUAUAUUUUUUGGAUGUUCUGUUUAGGCUUUAGCUAUUGUCACAGUAAUAUUUUAUUAUUGUUUUGGAUUGAGCCAUGUCGAUUAUGAUGGGUCUACCAGUGCUCUACAGUUCAUUCUUUUUCUUCUCAUCAAAAAACAAAUGUUCAUUCUUUAUGCUUUCUUUAUCAUGCACUCUCUAGAGGCAAGAUGGAUGGAUCAAGUAGUUUGAUGACACCCUUUUUUUUGCGAAAAGUUAGAUGACACCCAUGUAGUAGCAGAUUAGUGUUUUGGUGUAUCUAUGCAAGUAUGGCGUCGUUUCAGGUGUUGAAGGCUCUAUUUACCGAGUAGAUGAAGGUGCUUCGUAUAUCAAAAGUUUAGACGAGGUAUUCCAUAUAUUUGUGCAAUUCAUGUUCAUAACAAAAAAAAU
rnacentral:rRNA from 1 species